rnacentral:lncRNA from 1 species
AGACGGGAGUGGCUCUCCCCACUCCCUGGAGGACAUCCCUCCCCCAAGCCCAUGGGCCGCCUUCUCCAGGGACGCCUCCCUGUCCCACCCACCGGGCAAGGUGGGCCCAGCAGGGUCUCCUUUUCACCGUGCGCCCCCUCCUGUGGCCGGGUCCUGGGCUGAUGACUUCACAUGCUGCUUUUACAAGUCAGGUUUAUUGCGGUAUCACGUACACACAUAAGGCUCACCCCUUUUCGAUGCACAGCCGACGACUUGCUUUGCGUCCUCCAGAAUUGUCCUGUGAGUGACUCCCGCAGGAUGGAGACUUUUGUGUCUGGCUUCCUUCACUUCGCAGCAGGCUUCGCGGGACCCGUGUGGUGGCACCAGCGUCCUGCCCUUGGUGCUGCUGAGCUGUAGGUUGUGGGGCAGGUGGAGUGGCUCUGCAGAAAGCCAUGAAAGAGGAUCCUGAAAGAGCAAGGGCGGCCUCCAGGUGAAGGUGGUGGGCGGCCUCCAGGUGAAGGCGGCCUCCAGGUGAAGGUGGUCAGCACCCUCCCUUUGGCCAAGAGGAGACUGCAGUUUCAACUCAAAGAUUAUUCCUGAAU